rnacentral:piRNA from 1 species
UGCAAAUUAAGCUGUUGAAAACUUCCUGA